GGUUGCGAUCAUACCAGCACUAAUGCACCGGAUCCCAUCAGAACUCCGCAGUUAAGCGUGCUUGGGCGAGAGUAGUACUAGGAUGGGUGACCCCUGGGAAGUCCUCGUGUUGCAACCCUC
rnacentral:rRNA from 1 species